UGCUGCCCUAAUUUCCAGCAGCCACACAAAACCCUUAGAAGAUCCGAGCUCGAGUGGAGCACGGUGACCUGCCGAUACUCGGAGAUUUUUGCUGUAUAUAAGUUUUGCAGACACAGGGAUCCUUUUGAUAUUACUGUUGAUUUUGGACUUUCAUAGAGUUG